UGGGGAAUAUUGGACAAUGGGCGAAAGCCUGAUCAAGCCAUGCCGCGUGUGUGAAGAAGGUCUUCGGAUUGUAAAGCACUUUAAGUUGGGAGGAAGGGCAUUAACCUAAUACGUUAGUGUUUUGACGUUACCGACAGAAUAAGCACCGGCUAACUCUGUGCCAGCAGCCGCGGUAAUACAGAGGGUGCAAGCGUUAAUCGGAAUUACUGGGCGUAAAGCGCGCGUAGGUGGUUUGUUAAGUUGGAUGUGAAAUCCCCGGGCUCAACCUGGGAACUGCAUUCAAAACUGACUGACUAGAGUAUGGUAGAGGGUGGUGGAAUUUCCUGUGUAGCGGUGAAAUGCGUAGAUAUAGGAAGGAACACCAGUGGCGAAGGCGACCACCUGGACUAAUACUGACACUGAGGUGCGAAAGCGUGGGGAGCAAACA
rnacentral:rRNA from 1 species